CCUACGGGUGGCAGCAGUGGGGAAUAUUGGACAAUGGGCGAAAGCCUGAUCCAGCCAUGCCGCGUGUGUGAAGAAGGCCUUCGGGUUGUAAAGCACUUUCAGUGGGGAAGAAAGCCUUGGGGCUAAUACCCUCGAGGAAGGACAUCACCCACAGAAGAAGCACCGGCUAACUCCGUGCCAGCAGCCGCGGUAAUACGGAGGGUGCGAGCGUUAAUCGGAAUUACUGGGCGUAAAGCGCGCGUAGGCGGUCUGAUAAGCCGGUUGUGAAAGCCCCGGGCUCAACCUGGGAACGGCAUCCGGAACUGUCAGGAUAGAGUGCAGGAGAGGAAGGUAGAAUUCCCGGUGUAGCGGUGAAAUGCGUAGAGAUCGGGAGGAAUACCAGUGGCGAAGGCGGCCUUCUGGACUGACACUGACGCUGAGGUGCGAAAGCGUGGGUAGCAAACAGGAUUAGAUACCCCUGUAGUC
rnacentral:rRNA from 1 species